rnacentral:lncRNA from 1 species
UUGACAUUUCAUUCGUGAAAGUAACAAAGGUUGACUCGUUCUUUUCUAUCAUUAUUUUUAAGAAUUGUAGUACAAAUGGUCAAAAUAUAGAUGUUUAGAGAUAGAUAGAUACACACAAACUAGGAUCUUCUACCCCAACAAAAUAAAAAAAGAAUAUACAUAACAUAAAUCUUUAAGAUUGAAAGAAAUUUAAAAGCAGGGACAUCAAGCAGAAAAUUAAAAAAUAAACCGUAAAAAUGGAUAUGGAUGAAAAAAAAACUACAACAAUAAGAACUAAA